rnacentral:sRNA from 1 species
ACCCGCUGCAGACUUGUGGAUGCCGUUUAAAUCUAUUUCCCAACGCCAUCUUCGACAUGGUUCACGGAUGCGUACCUGUGCCGAUGAUUCUUUUCUCAACGCUACGUAGCACGAAGCCCCGCAUCCUUUCCAACCGCCUCCGCCUCCGCCGCCAGCUCAUCUCCAGAAACUCCUCAGCUUCCUCCCGCCGCAUCACCAUACCCCCGCCGGUUCCCGUAACGCCCUCGUGCCCGGAACCAACAUGUCCCUGUGCACCAACUCCAGAAAUGCCCGAGGGGCUGGAGAUUGACCAUGAGCACGGCCUGAAUGGCACCAUGGCGCCUUAUUCGCAGCAAGUGCUGAUUCUGACUGGGCAACGUGAUUGGAGGAGUAGGAUUGAAGA